UCGUUGCUGUCGACUCCUCUCAUGCCUAUCAAGAGUCCAGCGUCUGUGAAGGAUUGGUGCGCUGCGGCGCCGCAGAAGUGCGACUCUGUAGGUGUGCGUGCGUUCGUGCGUAUGUGUAUAUCUGUGUUUGCUAGAGCCGGCAUGAUGAGACACUAAUGGAUCGCUGACGCUGAGGGCACACGCCCAAAUGCAAGACAAGACCGUUAUUCUUUGCUCAACCUCUGAUGCGCUCUCCGCGACUGGUGCUGCUGCCGUGCGACUCUGUAGGUGUGCGUGCGUGCGUAUGUGUAUGUGUGUGUGGGUGCUGACGGGCAUUUGAGAUGUGGCAGCCGACGGUGCAUCCCGUGGAGGCUGCUGAGUAGUGCUGAGCCCACUGCUAUGGGUGUUUCACUCAUGACAUAUUACGUUAAGUAUACAGAUUUUGCUCUUCUAUAUGCCGAUUUGCCGACCCUGCGACACCGUUGUAACGCUCUGCGGUGCGCGAGAGCCAACGGAGAGCAAUCAAGAGCCGCCAUCUUGCGAUUUGCUAGCCGGCUAUGCUGCGGAAGCGACCCGCCGCCACGCACAGGUCGUUACACGCUUGUCGUGCGCACCUUCGAUGUGUAAUAGCUUUGGGAUCACCUGAGUCUCAUACGUCUUUGGUGCUUUCUGUUUCUCUCACUCACGAUCAUCACCCUACCUUUCCAUCGCCGACGCACCAACGCUGUAG
rnacentral:misc_RNA from 1 species